rnacentral:lncRNA from 1 species
CUUCCCCUUUUCCCGGAUACUGGCAGCAGCGUCUCUUCACAGGCAGGGCGGUCCUGGGAAGUCCCUCUGUAGCCCCACUCCAGGUGCACAUGCACAGGGGUACAGGCGGGCACUCACAGGGACACACAGAGCCCGCCCCACAGCUGCGGCAUCCUCUUCCAGGACACAAGAAGAACAGUGACCCCCAGGGCGGCUGUCAGUCACUGUGCUCUCUGGGAAUACAAACUCAUUAAACGUUUCCCUGCCUUGUCCCAGGGGCCCUAGUCCCCGAGUCAAGCCUACAAAUGUGCAGCUGAUCCUUUCAAAGCACAUCCUGUAUUUCUGACCCUGGAGGAGAGAUGAGGGGAUUACUGCCUGGGCUUGACACCCCUUCAGGGUGUGUCCUCUGGUGUUAACAAUCAGAAGCCAACAACACCUGCUGGUCAGAGAUGGGGGAGCCUCAGAGACCCUUUAGCCCAAGGGAUGGGUCAUAAACAAGGACUCAGUGGAGGGGAAUUUGAGAGAGCAGGCUGUGGCCUUGGACCUGGGCACUGCAUGAUGCUCCAGUGGAUAUGAAGGGGUCUAUUCCAGCCCAGCCCAGGAAAUCAUUCUAAAAGGGACCCUAUCUCUUUGCAAACCAAAUAACCUUCUCUCUGGGUGUGGGCAGAGGCCCUGGCAGCCCCCCAGUGCCUAUCACUGGUAGACCUAUCUCCUCCCUCCCUUUGGAGACCAGACCCUUCACCUUGCAGUCUGUAGGGUUUGGGCUGGGGUUGCCAGUCCCUGCCUCCCUCCUGGUCUCCUCCCUACUGCCUGCCAGAACUCUGCCCCAACUAGGCUUUGCCUCAGAAUACACCUGGACCAGCCCCUCCCUUUCACUGCCCCUGCCCCACAGAAGUCCAAGGGCUCCUCAGCUUUCCGUGCACAGCACCCCCCACCUCUGGAGUGGGCUGAAAAACUCUGCUGUCCUGCUCAUCAUCCAGAAGGCCCUUCUUGUUCUGCAUUUCCUCCCACCGUUGUGUCCCACGGGGAGUCAUUUAUCUGAUCGACUGACUCUCCUCAGUGCAAACAUUCACAGGAGCAUUAACAAGCCUAAAACCCAAUUAGCCUUCAAUUACUCAGGCCUUAGUCAGAUUUUCUGUGGUAGGGACACGGUUGAGGAAUGUAUUUGGACACUGCCUGGGUGGCACUCCUGCCCUUUGGCCAACGCCCCCACCCAUGCACUAGCACUCCUGUUGCAGCCAGCCUGCUCCCCUCUGUGCUCCCUCCUGCCCUAUACCACCUUCUUUCCUUCUUAUUCUUCUCUCCUGACCCCUUUCCUACACCUCUCUAAAAACAAUCAUUGUUUUAAAAUGUAC